rnacentral:rRNA from 1 species
AGCUUCGGCAGGAUUUUUAUUUAUCUUAGUGGCGGACGGGUGAGUAACGUGUGGGCAACCUGCCCUAUACUGGGGAAUAAUCACUGGAAACGGUGACUAAUACCGCAUGUCAUUACGGAAGGGCAUCCUUCUGUAAGAAAAGGAGUAAUUCGGUAUAGGAUGGGCCCGCAUCUGAUUAGCUAGUUGGUGAGAUAACAGCCCACCAAGGCGACGAUCAGUAGCCGACCUGAGAGGGUGAUCGGCCACAUUGGGACUGAGACACGGCCCAAACUCC